UAGUCAUAUGCUUGUCUCAAAGAUUAAGCCAUGCAAGUCUAAGUAUAAGUUUAAAUACAACGAAACUGCGAAUGGCUCAUUAAAACAGUUAUAGUUUACGUGAACAUAUCUACUACACGGAUACCUGUGGUAAUUCUGGAGCUAAUACGUGCAUAAACAUCUGCUUCUCUGGAGUAGAUGGCGCUUAUUAGAUAAAGAACCAACCCAUUUAUGGUUGUUGGGUGAUCCAUAAUAACUUUGCAGAUCGUAUUGCUUCGGCUAACGACAAUUCACAUAA
rnacentral:rRNA from 1 species